rnacentral:rRNA from 1 species
GAUGAACGCUGGCGGCGUGCUUAACACAUGCAAGUCGAACGAAGCACUUGCACUUGAUCCCUUCGGGGUGAUAGUGCUGGUGACUGAGUGGCGGACGGGUGAGUAACGCGUGGAUAACCUGCCUUAUACUGGGGGAUAACAGUUAGAAAUGACUGCUAAUACCGCAUAAGCGCACAGGACCGCAUGGUCUGGUGUGAAAAACUCCGGUGGUAUAAGAUGGAUCCGCGUCUGAUUAGCUAGUUGGUGAGGUAACGGCUCACCAAGGCAACGAUCAGUAGCCGGCCUGAGAGGGUGAACGGCCACAUUGGGACUGAGACACGGCCCAGACUCCUACGGGAGGCAGCAGUGGGGAAUAUUGCACAAUGGGGGAAACCCUGAUGCAGCGACGCCGCGUGAAGGAAGAAGUAUUUCGGUAUGUAAACUUCUAUCAGCAGGGAAGAAAAUGACGGUACCUGACUAAGAAGCCCCGGCUAAUUACGUGCCAGCCGCCGCAGUAACAC